UCUGCCAUGUUUUCAGGUCAGGUCUGUCUUGAUGUUCCCCCAUACGGAAAUGGCCAGGGAGCUCCAAGAAACCCAGGCACCAUCGCUUUGGCAGAGCCCGGGCAGUCAAGGCAGGGCAGCCGUGUAAAUCCGAGCAGUCCCGCGCAAGGUAGGGAGGCCAUGGUGUCCAGCAGUAACUGGCUCUCCUGGGUGAAUGUGCUGGUGAUGGCCUACGGUAGGCUGGACUUGAAAGAGGAGAUUGAUAUUCAACUAUGCAGGGUUCAAGAUAUCAAGCAUGAACCCUGGCUCCUUGCAAAUGAUGGUGCUAGACUGCUACAGUAGGAAACCUGGGGAAAUCAAAAUUGCUGCAGCUAUCUGUACAGGAUGAAAGCUCUGGAUGUCAUUCAUGUCUCUGAGAUCCCAUUUCAUGCUGAAGACUGGCAUCCGCCUCCUUAAUGGGCAAGAAUUUCCACUCCUACCUGCUAGAUCUGCGAAACACUACUAUUCCUUUCAAGGGUGUGCACGAGGCCCUCUUGAUACCCUGCUGGAUGGCUAUGAGAUGGCCUGCUGUGGGGCAGGGGUCUUUGGCCAGAAUGAAUACCUGUGCUAUCAGGAGGCCCUGAGUGAGCUGGCCACCAUGGUCAAAGCACGAACUGGGAGCUCUCAGCACCAACACCAGUCAGCAGUCAAAGACCUAACUCAGUCCCCUGAGGUCUCCCCAACAACCAUCCCAGUGACCUGCCUCCCCUCCAGUCAGAAGAGUAAACGUGCCAAGCACUUCCUCAAAUUGAAGAGCUCUAAGGACAACUAUAGCACAUUGGAGAGUACUCCGUGA